UACGGAGGGAGCUAGCGUUGUUCGGAUUUACUGGGCGUAAAGAGCGCGUAGGCGGUUUGGUAAGUUAGAAGUGAAAGCCCAGGGCUUAACCCUGGAAUUGCUUUUAAGACUGCCUUACUUGAGAUCGAUAGAGGAUAACGGAAUUCCUAGUGUAGAGGUGAAAUUCUUAGAUAUUAGGAGGAACACCAGAGGCGAAAGCGGUUAUCUGGGUCGCAUCUGACGCUGAGGCGCGAAAGCGUGGGGAGCAAACAGG
rnacentral:rRNA from 1 species